CAUCAAGAAGCUAUGUAGCGUUAACCUUUUAAGUUAAAGACCGAGAGCAUAAUACUCUCCUUGAUGA
ensembl:Mt_tRNA